rnacentral:rRNA from 1 species
AACGAACGCUGGCGGCAGGCCUAACACAUGCAAGUCGAGCGCCCCGCAAGGGGAGCGGCGAACGGGUGAGUAACGCGUGGGAAUAUGCCCUUUGCUACGGAAUAGUCUCGGGAAACUGGGGGUAAUACCGUAUACGCCCUUUGGGGGAAAGAUUUAUCGGCGAAGGAUUAGCCCGCGUUGGAUUAGGUAGUUGGUGGGGUAAUGGCCUACCAAGCCGACGAUCCAUAGCUGGUUUGAGAGGAUGAUCAGCCACACUGGGACUGAGACACGGCCCAGACUCCUACGGGAGGCAGCAGUGGGGAAUCUUAGACAAUGGGGGCAACCCUGAUCUAGCCAUGCCGCGUGAGCGAUGAAGGCCUUAGGGUUGUAAAGCUCUUUCAGCUGGGAAGAUAAUGACGGUACCAGCAGAAGAAGCCCCGGCUAACUCCGUG